rnacentral:lncRNA from 1 species
AAAAAGUAGCUAAUAUGAUAGAGCACUAAUCUAGAUCAAGAUGCCUUGGGCUGCUGGGCACAGUGGCACAUACUUGUAAUCCCAGUGACGCAGGAGGAUAAUGAGUUCAAGACCAGCCUCAGCAACUUAGCAAAGCCCUAUCAAUUCAGUGAGACCCUGUCUCUAAAUAAAAUAUAAAAAGGCUGGGGAUGUAGCUCAGUGGUAAAGCACCCCUGGGUUCAAUCCCAUUUACUACCACUCCCCCUGCAAAAUGCCCUAGGCUAAAUCCUAUUCACAGAUUAUGUCAUUGAAGCCUCACACAUUUUUGGUGAUUUCCUCAUGCUACAGUGAGAAAAAGCUAUAGCUUGACCAAGGCCAUUGGUUAAUAAAGUGAUCAGGAUCUGAAACUUUUUUCUACAAAGCUUGGGCUAAUCCACUCCCCAAUGAGUACAUCAGAAGUACAAGAGGUAUCUGAAUUUAUGUGCAUUUUAAUCAGAUGUGAAUAUUCAAAUCAGAAAGAACUUUUUGUAUUAUAAUAGCUGCUCACAUUUCCACACUACAUGAUGAAAUACCAAAUACGUCCUCAGUUCCUUUGAUUAAACCAUGCUCUCUGCUAGAGGACCCCUUCCUCCAGCUCUCUGACAUGAAAGCCAGAAUGAUCUUUAUAAUAAAAUGCCCAUCAGGCCAUGUCACUCUCCUGUUCAUGAUCCUCCAAUAGCUUCCAAUCCAACUUGGAAUAAAAUUUAAACUCCCGCCGCCCUCUCCAAGUUCAUUGCACAGCUUUUGUCCAUACUCCUGUCAUGGGCAACAGUGGCCUCUCAGUUCCCACAUGUGCCAACGUUGGUUACUCCAGUGUCUGUUCUUCUCUACAAAUGAGUAACUGAAAUAAUUUGGUGGUUACCUCCCUGGCGUGGUGACACUUUGGGCAGUGGUUUUGAAGUGCAAUCCCUGGACCAGCAGCAUUAGCAUCAUCAGGUUACUUGUCCCCUGUCAGGAUUACCGAAUCUGACAAAACUGAGAGUGGGGACCACAGAUCUGACAAGCCCUUCAGGCAAUUCUGAUGUAAUACAGGCAAUCCUAGGGCAUUUCAAAUUAUUUUCAUGUUGCUCAUUUUUUAAAGUUUUAAAUUCUCAUGGAUGGCACUAGAGCAGAUUAUGCUAAGUGAAGCUAGCCAAUCCCUAAAAAACAAAUGCCAAAUGUCAUCUUUGAUAUAAGGAGAGCAACUAAGAACAGAAUAGGGGGGAAGAGCAUGAGAAGAAGAUCACCAUUAAACAGGGAUGAGAGGGGGGGAGAGAAAGAGAGAUAGAAGGGAAAUUGCAU